GGAAGUUUGGCAGAGUGGUCUAAUGCACUGGUCUUGAAAACCAGCAGUCUGAAAAGACUCCAGGGUUCGAAUCCCUGAGCUUCCGCCA
rnacentral:tRNA from 1 species